rnacentral:rRNA from 1 species
UCCUGGCUCAGGACGAACGCUGGCGGCGUGCCUAACACAUGCAAGUCGAACGGACGAGGGGAGCUUGCUCCCCAAGUUAGUGGCGGACGGGUGAGUAACACGUGAGCAACCUGCCCUUCGGAGGGGGACAACAGCCGGAAACGGCUGCUAAUACCGCAUGACAUAUCCUUGAGGCAUCUCGGGGAUAUCAAAGAUUUAUCGCCGAAGGAUGGGCUCGCGUCUGAUUAGCUGGUUGGUGAGGUAACGGCUCACCAAGGCGACGAUCAGUAGCCGGACUGAGAGGUUGAACGGCCACAUUGGGACUGAGAUACGGCCCAGACUCCUACGGGAGGCAGCAGUGGGGAAUAUUGGGCAAUGGGGGGCAACCCUGACCCAGCAACGCCGCGUGAAGGAAGAAGGCUUUCGGGUUGUAAACUUCUUUGACGAGGGACGAUAAUGACGGUACCUCGAAAACAAGCCACGGCUAACUACGUGCCAGCCGCAGC